AACAAAUUAACUUUUUAGUUUUUACAUACAAUGUUUAACUCUUCGUCUUAUUAAAAAAAUUUUACGAUUAAUAAUUUUAUUUUUAUUAGAUGAUAAAACAUGAAUAAUACUUUAUGUGUGACUAAUCUUUUAAAAAUUUCUUGAAAAUUUUUCAAAUAAGACGGAUGGUCAAAUGCUCGAUACAAAAACUGA
rnacentral:pre_miRNA from 1 species